GGAGGAAAGCAGGGGAUCGCAAGACCUUGCGCUCAUUGAGCGGCCGAUGCCUGAUUAGCUAGUUGGUGAGGUAAAGGCUUACCAAGGCGACGAUCAGUAGCUGGUCUGAGAGGACGACCAGCCACACUGGGACUGAGACACGGCCCAGACUCCUACGGGAGGCAGCAGUGGGGAAUUUUGGACAAUGGGGGAAACCCUGAUCCAGCCAUGCCGCGUGAGUGAAGAAGGCCUUCGGGUUGUAAAGCUCUUUCAGCCGGAACGAAACGGUCACGGCUAAUACCUGUGACUACUGACGGUACCGGAAGAAGAAGCACCGGCUAACUACGUGCCAGCAGCCGCGGUAAUACGUAGGGUGCGAGCGUUAAUCGGAAUUACUGGGCGUAAAGCGUGCGCAGGCGGUUUUGUAAGUCAGAAGAGAAAUCCCCGGGCUUAACCUGGGAACUGCGUUGUUAAAAUGAGGCUAGAAGGGC
rnacentral:rRNA from 1 species